AUGCGCCUCAUGGCCAGCCAGCCUUGGAAAGGAUGAUCCUCUCGCCUCUCCCGGUACUGUAAUGUAAUGUAAUAUAAUGUAAUGGAAGGUAGUCAAUGUAAUGCAUUACAUCUUUGCUCCACCCCGCUCCACCACCCACCCUACUCGGUAUCUCCUCAACCGCCACGCCGCUCUGCAUCGCCUCUCUUUCUCUCUCUCUCUCUCACAUGCUACCACUUCUUGCUUUCUCCCCGAUGCAUGGGAUCCUCCGCCUGUAGUGUCGUCGGUGCCAGGAUGCGUUAGAAGCUAUAGCAGCGGAUUUGGAAUUGGGAUAUUUAGGAUCUCUGGGAGUAGAGCAGGAGCUGAUCAUGAAUUUGACGUUGGGAAACGGGCAGCGUGAGUGAAUAGAGUGGGGUUAUGAUAUUAGCAGGUGGAUCGUGACCUUGUUUGCUUCUCGUUUCUGAGAAUGUCACAAUUGGGAACGCCGAUGGUCCAGUGCACAGACAAGAACAUUCUCGUGACCCUCAUGUACAGCAAAACCAGCCAGCAGAUUCUGUUUGUGGAAGCUGGGAAAGAGUUCGUGGAUCUGGUUUUGGGGUUCCUAACCCUGCCCAUUGGCCGUGUCAUCAAGCUUCUCUCCGACAAUUCAUUGAUAACCCCCAAGGCUGUAGGCGGCAUUGCCAAUGUUUUCAAUAGCAUCCAGAGGCUUGAAGCUGAGGAGACUCUUUGUACCAAUAAGAUGAUGCUCGUAGAUCUGAAGCCAGUGCAUGGGCUGGGUCACUUGGCUACAGAGGAUGAGAUUAGACGUUCGAGAGAGGGUACCUCGGAGCCCAACAACUCUGAGCAAAGUUUCUUCUUAUGCGGCGCAAGUUCUCAUUGCGCCUUUGUCUCUCCAACGCACGUUCCAGUUGUUGUUGUUCCACUUGAACACUUACUAUUAAAUUCAUCUUAUAUUAUUGAUGGGUGGCAGAUUUGUUUGAACUUUAGAUUGAAAAGAGGUAACCUGACACAGUUAAGGGGAUUAUACUCUCCACUUUAGAGCCCAAUGACCUUUAAGAUGCGGAGCGAAAUGCCCUCGGCACCAGAAGAAGAUAACCACGCAAUGCAAGAUAAUGCAUGAGAGCGAGACGUCACCGAAUACUGAGACACAUAAUGGUUAUGUGAAAUGCGGUAGCAAAUAUUUUGUGACUGAUAAUCUUGAGAUCUUUCCCAGCUCCAAAUCCUUGGCUUUGCUGAAGAAACUGAAUGUGGAGAACAUGAGCAUCUUCACACCUUUAACAAUCGAUAUACUUGGCAGCAAUUAUUCAGCACUCUUUUAGGCAGGAAAGUAUGAACCAGGUGUUGCAACUACUGAGGGCAUCCCUGACAUCCGUCAACGUCAUGAGUGAAGUGUUCGGAAAAUCACUUGGGGAAACCUGUGUGAUUACAACCAACCAAGUGAACCUUCCCUCGACACCUUCACAAUACAAAACCUUCAGCAGCGAGGAAGAGAAGUCGGAGCAGGCUCCACAACACAAUCCAGUGAGACAGGCCCAGGAAAUUGCACGUCAUUUGGGGGCAAGGACUCCACACUGCCUUGAGGGAAAUCCAGGACACAGCAUUUCACAGCGGCAGCCUUGUGAAUUACGAGAAGGAGAGGGAGCACAGGAUCAGCUGUGUUUUGCGAGACUUGAGCUACCCUGCCUCAAGUGUCACGUCCCAUUCCAGCAGAUCAAGCUCCACUAGUGUGGGCACAAAGCAAACCAUCAGAUCGAAUGGAGACCACACGAUGCCUGGGCCUUGCAAGGAGAUGCUCAUGUUGGAGAAGCAGGUGGACAAGCUGAUGGCGAGGGUGUGUCAUCUCACCUCCUUGGACCACCCACCCAAGCCCAGAUCUGCCCCACCAACUGUGAAGCCUCCUUGGAUUACUCAUCACUCUACUUCUCGCGUUCGAAUACCUCCCAGAGUCUGGCAUCUCUGACACGCUUUAUUCUCUUCUUUUUGCUCCAUGCGGGUCUUUCUUCAUUUUUUAGCCUUGAGAAUGAAUUCUAGUUUACCAUUGUUCAUGGGUAUGGCAAACAAGAGGACGGUUUUGUCAUAGCUGGGUUUUGCUGUUGGAACAUCUUCAGCAGAGACGUGGGUUAGCGGCAACAAAUUGCAGUAGUUAUACUGAUUUGAUAGGAGAAACUAUGAAGAUUCCACUGCUUCUCUCUCUCCGUGACUACAAUCAGCGAAGUUGCAACCUCAUUGGUUUAACAUGAUGUGGCAAAUAUAUUUCAGUGGGUUCUUUUCAA